rnacentral:rRNA from 1 species
UCCUACGGGAGGCAGCAGUGGGGAAUCUUGCACAAUGGGGGAAACCCUGAUGCAGCGACGCCGCGUGAGCGAUGAAGCCCUUCGGGGUGUAAAGCUCUUUCGGCAGGAACGAUAAUGACGGUACCUGAAGAAGAAGCUGCGGCUAACUACGUGCCAGCAGCCGCGGUAAUACGUAGGCAGCAAGCGUUGUUCGGAGUUACUGGGCGUAAAGAGUGUGUAGGCGGCUUUCUAAGUUCGGUGUGAAAUCUCCCGGCUCAACUGGGAGGGUGCGCCGGAAACUGGAGGGCUGGAGUGUGGGAGAGGAAAGCGGAAUUCCUGGUGUAGCGGUGAAAUGCGUAGAUAUCAGGAGGAACACCGGUGGUGUAGACGGCUUUCUGGACCAUUACUGACGCUGAGACACGAAAGCGUGGGGAGCAAACAGGAUUAGAUACCCCAGUAGUC